rfam:Hordeum vulgare subsp. vulgare, WGS project CAJW01000000 data, contig: morex_contig_75557
GAUAUACUCCCUCCGUUCUAAAAUACUUGUCAUAGGAAUAAAUGUAUCUAGACAUAUUUUAUUUCUAGAUACAUUUACUUUUAUCCAUUUUUACGACAAGUAAUUCCAGACGAAGGGAGUAUCAU